UUUCCCUACAAUGACAUUAAUCGAAAUUGGUAGGAAAUUUCUGGGAAAGCUUAGUCAAAUACAACAAGAAAACCAGACUCCCAAUACCUUUUGGUGUAGUUCUUUAAUCUCUUGUUGUCUCAGGCUUGCUGCUUCUGUCUGCCAAAACUAGGAAGUAGAAAUACAGAUAUCAAAUCUGUCUUACAGUUAUUAUCAAAGGGAAUUGUCUAAGGACCAACAACAUUCUCCUGGUUACAUUGGUAUUCUAUUUUUACACUAGCAUGUAUGAUACUAUUAAAUGAUUAGCCCAUGUGUUGAAUGGCACAAUGGGGUUACUGUUUAUGUAGAAUCUGACAUGUCUGCAUUCUGGUCUAUUCUGUUGCGUAUUUUGAAUCUUUCAAUGUUAGAUGUUCAUCCCAAAAAAAAAAAAACAGUGCAUUUUACAAGAAUACUGAAAUCCAUUAUCGGAAGCCAGCUUCCAAUUGCGACACUUGUUAAGAACUAAUUUCUCAACAUAUUAGCCAAUCAAAAGGAGGUCCAUGAAUGUUUGUAAGGUUGUUCAUUCUUCCUGUGUUUGAUCACAUGCCUCAAAUGUAUUAUCGGAAACUAGGAUCUAACAAAGUAUUUUAUCUAA